UACGUAGGGUGCGAGCGUUGUCCGGAAUUACUGGGCGUAAAGGAUGCGUAGAUGGUGUAAUAAGUUAUCAGUGGGAAAUCGGGGCUCAACCCCGCGGAAGUUGAUAAUACUGUUAUACUUGAGUGCAGGAGAGGUUAACGGAACUCCAUGUGGAGCGGUAAAAUGUGACGAUAUAUGGAAGAACACCAAUAAGGCGAAAGCAGUUAACUAUUCUGUUACUGACAUUGAGGCAUGAAAGCGUGGGGAGCAAAACGG
rnacentral:rRNA from 1 species